rnacentral:rRNA from 1 species
GAUGAACGCUGGCGGCGUGCCUAAUACAUGCAAGUCGAGCGAACAGAUGAGGAGCUUGCUCCUCUGACGUUAGCGGCGGACGGGUGAGUAACACGUGGAUAACCUACCUAUAAGACUGGGAUAACUUCGGGAAACCGGAGCUAAUACCGGAUAAUAUAUUGAACCGCAUGGUUCAAUAGUGAAAGACGGUUUUGCUGUCACUUAUAGAUGGAUCCGCGCCGCAUUAGCUAGUUGGUAAGGUAACGGCUUACCAAGGCAACGAUGCGUAGCCGACCUGAGAGGGUGAUCGGCCACACUGGAACUGAGCCACGGUCCAGACUCCUACGGGAGGCAGCAGUAGGGAAUCUUCCGCAAUGGGCGAAAGCCUGACGGAGCAACGCCGCGUGAGUGAUGAAGGUCUUCGGAUCGUAAAACUCUGUUAUUAGGGAAGAACAAAUGUGUAAGUAACUAUGCACGUCUUGACGGUACCUAAUCAGAAAGCCACGGCUAACUCCGUG